GACAGAGGUGCCGAGCGUUAGGCGGAAUCACUGGGCUUAAAGCGUGUGUAAGCGGCCCGUUAAGUGCCUUGUGAAAUCCCCCGGCUUAACCGGGGAACUGCUUGGUAUACUGGGUGUCUUGAGCCACUUAGGGGCGACCGGAACAAACGGUGGAGCGGUGAAAUGCGUAGAUAUCGUUUGGAACGCCAAUGGUGAAAACAGGUCGCUGGGAGUGUGCUGACGCUGAGACACGAAAGCCAGGGGAGCGAACGGG
rnacentral:rRNA from 1 species